AUUUCGAUCACCCAGCAGCUUCACUUCACAACAUGUAAAAACCAGAACAAAGCCAAGUUACCAUAACAGAAUGGUUAUCCGACAAAGCGGCUCUUAGAACAACACUCGAAUGCAUUGCCAAUAUCAACUCUGUUUCCAUUCCUUUACUUCAUGGUGACCAGAUGAUCUUCUUCAUCCUCAUUGUAAUUGAAGCAAUAGGAGUGGUCAUGACAUUCAAACCAUUUCUGGUUGAACGCCAGGAGUAAGGAAAGAGACAAAGCUCGAGCAACCUUCAUAACCAGGUCGGAAAAGUAUGCUCAGAGCUAUUUUUCUGCAAAUUGAUCCAUUGUUGGACCCAAUGCAGGGACUGGAACCAACAGAAUCCUUCCAUUUUUUGAUUAAGAACAUUGUACCCUGUAACUAUUGCUAUACUGAAUAUACUCCUUGAUUGUUGUUAAAAACUCUCAGAAUGCUUACUGAUCAGAAGUUUGGCUCCUGGUAAAGUUGCUUCCAACGCAAUUUCUGUGGUACUGUUAGAUUGAUUUGCUUUUAUGUUGCAAUUGCUAAUUCGUGGCAUAGAGACAGCUUGGGAGAAGUGCCAUAUUUGCAAUACAACUAGUCUCCUUAGCCCUUAAAUUUUGGAUACCAUACUUGAAUAAAGAAUUAUUCUAGAUUU